rfam:Pan troglodytes isolate Yerkes chimp pedigree #C0471 (Clint) chromosome 20, whole genome shotgun sequence.
GCCGGGCGUGGGGGCAUGUGUCUGUAGUCCCAGCUACUUGGGAGGCUGAGGCGGGGGGAUCACUUGAGCCUGGGAGGUGGAGGCUGCAGUGAGCCGAGAUCGUGUUACUGCGCUCCAGCCUGGGCAACAAGAGCAAGACUCUGUCUGAAAAAAGAAAAAAAGAAUAUAUAUUUUGUUGUUGUUUAUAUAUAUACAUGUUUGUUUGUUUUUGAGACGGAGUCUUGCUCUUGUUGCCCAGGCUGGAGUGCAGUGACACCAUCUCGGCUCACUGCAGCCUCUGACUCCCAGACUCAAGUGAUCCUCCCGCCUCAG